rnacentral:rRNA from 1 species
UACGUAGGUGGCAAACGUUGUCCGGAUUUAUUGGGUUUAAAGGGUGCGUAGGCGGUCUUUUAAGUCAGUGCUGAAAUACUCCAGCUUAACUGGAGGGGUGGCAUUGAUACUGGAAGACUUGAGUGCAGUCGAGGUAGGCGGAAUUGACGGUGUAGCGGUGAAAUGCUUAGAUAUCGUCAAGAACACCGAUAGUGAAGACAGCUUACUAGGCUGCAACUGACGCUGAGGCACGAAAAGUGUGGGGGAUCAAACAGG